rnacentral:rRNA from 1 species
AUACGUAGGUGACAAGCGUUAUCCGGAUUUACUGGGCGUAAAGGGUGCGCAGGCGGCCGUGCAGGUCAGCGGUGAAAGCCCGGGGCUCAACCCCGGAAGUGCCGUUGAUACUGCGUGGCUGGAAUGCGGUCGAGGCGGGCGGAACCUGGCGGGUUGCGGUGAAAUGCGUAGAUAUGCCACAGAACGCCGAUAGCGGAGGCAGCUCGCCAGGCCUGCAGUGACGCUCGGGCACGAAAGCGUGGGGAUCGAACAGGAUUAGAUACCCUGGUAGUCCACGCCGUAAACGAUGGGCGCUCGUCGUCGGCGACAGACAGUCGGCGGCCAAGCGAAAGCGAUAAGCGCCCCACCUGGGGAGUACGGUCGCAAGGCUGAAACUUAAAGGAAUUGACGGGG